rnacentral:lncRNA from 1 species
UCCCAUUCCUCGCCCCUGUAAGUUGUAUAAUUAAGUCCCAUUCUGUUCGGCUUUGUUUGCAUUACAUUAACAUAUCUGAAACUAUAGUGAGUGUGUGCUUUGUGCUUUGUUCAUGCCAUCUUUGUUGCCGUUUCAUUCAUUAAAUUAACAGCAGCCGCUUUGAAAGGCGUCAAGUAGUGGUUCCUGAUUCAUGAACUGUUUAAUGAAAAUAUUUAUCUUCUUUAAUGGUUCAAUUUUUGCUUACAUGAAGGCUGAGGAAACUGCUAUUUCAGCAUUGAAGAGAGCUCUUGAUGCGUUGAACUCGUACCUUGCCACAACCACCUUCUUGGUUGGGCAUUCUGUUACCUUGGCCGAUAUCAUACUCACAUGUAAUCUGCACAUGGGAUUCUCUUGGAUCCUGACAAAGAGCUUUACCUCAGCAUUUCCUCACGUAGAGAGAUACUUCUGGACCAUGGUUAAUCAACCAAAUUUCAGGAAGGUAAUGGGGGAAGUGAAGCAAGCUGAGUCAGUUCCUGCUGUUGAGUCUGGAAAGAAACCAGCGCAGACAAAGGAAAAGGCCAAGCCGAAGGAGGAAACUAAGAAGGAAGUAGCUAAACCCAAGCCAGAAGCUGUUGCAGAAGAGGAUGAGCCAGCGCCAAAGCCAAAAGCAAAGAACCCCCUCGACUUGCUGCCACCUAGUAAGAUGAUACUAGAUGAGUGGAAGAGGCUGUACUCCAACACUAAGACCAACUUCCGUGAGGUGGCAAUCAAAGGUAAUUAGUUAACCAUUAUGAUACCUGGACCUCUCUAAAAUAGUAAAUACUACUUGGUGGCAUAUUGGUUUGUCAAAGAAUAUUGGUCUUUUACUGAACAAGGCAUAUAGUGUAAUUUUUUAGGAACUGUGUUGAGAUUGAAGGCCAUAGUUUAGAACAACCAUAGGAGCGAAUAAUAAAGCAAGAACUUAUUUUCUGUUGCAGGUUUUUGGGACAUGUAUGAUCCCGAGGGAUACUCACUGUGGUUCUGUGAGUACAAGUACAACGAUGAGAAUACAGUCUCAUUUGUCACCCUUAACAAGGUUGGUGGGUUUCUCCAGAGGAUGGAUCUUGCUCGCAAGUAUGCAUUUGGCAAGAUGCUGGUAAUUGGAUCUGAAGCACCAUUCAAGGUGAAGGGAUUGUGGUUAUUCCGUGGGCAGCAGGUGCCUCAGUUUGUUAUAGAUGAGUGCUACGACAUGGAGCUGUACGAGUGGAAGAAGGUAGACAUCUCCGACGAAGCCCAGAAGGAGCGAGUGAACCAGAUGAUUGAAGACCAAGAACCUUUUGAAGGAGAGGCUCUCCUAGAUGCUAAAUGCUUCAAAUAGAGCUGAUAAGUUGCUGAAGCGCUUUUGUGUGUGAAGUGAUUUUUGUUACUCUUGGGAGAUUAUGGAGUUAAAACUAUCCUGGAAAUUUAAUUUGCGAGUUAAAACUAGGUUUGUAUUCUGUGGGUAUGAAAACAGAAGCAACUUUACCAACUUGUUCCAAACGGUAAUCUCACUGUAGUGUGAUGCCGGCAAUUCCAUAUUUGCUGCUGUUCUAUUGAUGUCUCUUCCUAUUUACUUUGCAAUGUGAUACUUGCUCUUUACGAACUAAUGUACUGAUGCAAGUUUGAAAGUGAUGCUAUACCGAUUAGUCAAUCCCUAAUCGAGGUCAACCAUAAACAUAAUGUUCAGUGAUGGUGCUGUAUUUCGGAGGAGCCUAUGGAAUUCUGUGUAAGAACUGAUGGUGCUGCUCCUCCUUGACAGUUGUUACUGUGAAUGAUUACUUGGCUCAACGUGAUGCUGAGUAGAUGGGCCGUGUUCAUCGUUUCGGUCUUUCUGUUAGUCUCAUACAGCAACAGGUAUUAGCCUGGAAAUGACUAUAAUGUAAAGAUUAGCAUGCCUGGUUGGUUGCUUUUAUAUGGACGCCAAAGGCUUUAGUGCAAAAUGCUAAUAUCCGGUAACUGGAACAUGCUUAAACAUUCCUUUUUUGCUUUUCCUAGUUUCCUUCGAAAGCAACCGCUUGUUCUGUACCCCCAGUAUUUUCUUUUGGAAAAAUUCACUAGAAAAGCCAACCUAUUCAGAAGAUACACGAUUUGGCGUAUAUUUUCGGAAAUACAAAAUAUGACUCCGGUUUUAAAGCCGUUAAUAGAAUUUGGUCAACAUUGACGUUUACUAUUAGAGUUAAAGAGAAAAAUGGGACAGCGUUAUAACUUAGGGACGGUGAAGUGCCAUGUAUUGCUCCACGUCAGCGGAGAAUGCCAUGAAGAACUCCACGUCAGCAAAAAAAUGCCACCUCCCUCUUCUUCAUCGUCCUCUCCGUCAAACUCCACCUCGACCACCGCCUCUUCACCUGCAUUUUCAUUACAUGUUUCCUUCCUUUGGUCCUUAAAUUCACCGCCUCUUCACCUGAACUCUUGACUAAUCUCACUUUCCUCUCCCAAAUUCUCAAAAUUAAUAACUCACUCUUCUUCACUUCCUCAUCUCCGAUCACCACCGCUGCUUAGCACGAGAAGAAGAGUGUCAUGAGAAAAAUGUAACAACACCCCUGAUGCAUCUCGCACAGCCAUCCCCACUCCAUGACUGCCCUCUUGCGUAAAAAUGGCUAUAACAACAUUACAUUUAACGUACCCUGCCGGUGGCGGAUGCUACCGAGGACAGUCAACAGCUUGAGGUCGUGUAUGUCGCUCCUCUCCCGAUCGGUAACUCACCCACUCUUGCAAGUCAUCCACUGCGCAUCUCGUAAUCAUCUCCGCUGUACGAGCAUAUCAUUCCAUACUCUCUCGUUGCACUCUCUCGUUGCACUCUCUCCAUACCGCUCAAACAAUAGCUGCCGCUUUCCGAAUCUGGUGGGUAGCGUUGGUUUGCAACAAUUUGAAAACCCAUCCUCGAACAUCACCAACUUGCAUGCGUAACGAGUGAACCCACUGUCAUAAUCCGCCACACUCCCAGCAUGCCCUAGCCACCUCACAUGCAAAGAGUAAAUGGUCUUAAUCUUAACCCAUAUUCGAGCAGCAUCCACAAGUGUCUUGCACCGGAACACCCUUUCCCACCAGGCGCGACCUUGUUGGUAUCACACCACGAGCAAUGCGCCACAUGAGUUGUUUCAUCUUAGGAAGCAGCUCCGCGCCCCAAAGUUGCUUCCAAGCACCGUCCUUUUUGAAAACAGCAAGAGCCCCUCUACGUUCCACCGCCGCAUGGUAAGCCGACCGCACCGAAUACUGCCCUCUCUUCUCAUGUCUCCAUAUACGCACGUCAUCUCCAUCACCACUAGGGGGUUGUAUUCUUAGUAUUACUUCUGCAUCACGCACACAAAAAUUUUGAGUAAUAAAAUCAUGAUUCCAAGUCCGAAGACCAGGAAUCACCAAAUCGGCUAUCGUCAAUUCAUUAAGUUGCAAAUUAGGGGUAAUUUUGACGUAAUAAUUUUGAUCAUCCCUCAACCACAGUUCACAUUAAUAUUAGCACCAUCUCCACUGAAUUCCAUCACGCACAACAUCUUGGGCUGCAACCAUGCUCCUCUAUACAUAGUUCGGUCGAUAUCCAACCUUUGCUAACAAGAAAUUCCCAUUGGAAAAGUAUUUUGCUUUGAUCACACGACACAUAAGAGCAUUGGUUUCUUGUAGAAACCACCACCCAUGCUUACCCAAUAUUGCGAGAUUGAAAUUCUUCAAACUUCGAAACCCCAUGCCACCGUCUUCCUUCCGCACACAUAAUUUCUCCCAGCUCAUCCAAACGAUUGCACCCGCAUCACUAGUAUUCGUUCCCCACCAGAAACUAUUAAGCAUGAGGUCCAACUUUUCUGCUAAUGUGACUGGUAACAAAAAUACAUUCAUGCAGAAAGUUGGAAUUGCUUGUGCCACUGUUUUGAGCAAAAUCUCCUUACCACUAGGAGUUUGAAAUCGCUGACGCCAUCUUUGGAUCCUUGCCCACAUCCUCUCCCGCGUGUAUUGAAAGGUAACCUUCUUCUUCUUUCCAACCAUCCACGGGAGCCGAGAUAUCUUCCCGUAUCCAGUGGCGAGUGCACCUCCAAAACUUAUGAUAUCCCUGCCUGCAGCAACGAGUCGGUCAUUUUAGUAAAAAGGAUACCAGAUUUAUCAUAAUUAAUAACUUGCCCUGAUGCGUCUGCGUAUGUAUCAAACACCCUCAUCGCUCUUGCUUCCCGAAUAAUCGGGUGGAAUGGAGCUAUAUAGAGGGGAUGAUGAAUAAAUUGGGUUUUGCGUCAAAAUGGAUAGAGUGGAUGAUGAUGUGCAUCAAAUCGGUCGAAUCUUAGGUGAAAAUAAUUUUAAAACUCCGUUUAAAGCCCGAAAAAUAGCUGGAUUCGUUUAUCGUCCGUGUACAUGAUGAAAUUCUUUUGAGAUAAAUUUGGUGCCUAAACUUAGGUGAAAAUAGUUUUAAAGCUCCGUUUAAAGUCCGAAAAAUAGCUAGAUUCGUAUAUCGUUCGAGUACAUGACGAAAUUAUUUUAAUAUAAAUUUGGUGCCUAAACUUUAGGCAAAAAUAAUUUUAAAGCUUUUUUUAAAGCCUGGAAAACAGCUGGAUUUGUUUAUCGUAUACGACGAAAUUCUUUUUAUACAAAUUUGGUGCCUAAACUUAGGUGCCUAAACUUAGGUGUAAAUAACUUUAAAGCUCUUUUUAAGGCUCGAAAAAUAACUGGAUUCGUUUAUCGUUCGAGUACACGACGAAAUUCUUUUGAGAUAAAUUUGGUGCCUAAACAUAGGCGAAAUUCUCUAUUCAAGUUUUGGUUGCACUAAUGUUAUGAACCGUUUACUUGUUAGAUCAUGGAGGCAAUGAGAUUCUUUAAGGGAUCAAGAAAAAAGAAGUGGAGAGAGUGACUGGAGAAAAUGCAAGGAUAGUUCAUUUUUCAGAUAGGUCGGAUCCUCUAAGUGAUGCAGCUAGCAUUCUUAAAUGCUUCAUUGGGGAUGUGGCCAAGGACACCAACCACCUCCCCAUCAGAACCUCGGACUAGAGACUUGUGGAUAGGGUCAAGAAGCAAGAAUUCUAUACAUGAUUAAUCGAGGUAACUAUCAAUUGUUGUGUUCACUUAAUUUGGAUGAAAAUGAAGAAAUUAUAUACUUAACUACUUUAUCAUUGUUUUCGUUGAAAUUGUAGCCUUGAUUUUAUUUCUAUCCAUGUGAGAGGAAACGAGGCAUCAUGUAUGUCUUGAAAAAAUCUGGAGAAGUAUGGGCGAGGAACCAACGGUUCAAGUUCGAUGAAUACUACUGCUAUUCCCUGAGUUCAGAUAACAAUCUAAUGAAUAUGCCACUGAGAAUCGCUGAAGGGUAAUGGGGUGCAUAUUUGAAGAUACAUACGGAUGAAGAGAAAUAUCAAUCUUAUAUCGUUUUUUGCACUUAUUUUAGAAAAAAAAGUGAAGCAGAACAAGGAAAAUAAGGAGAAGCAAAAGAGGAACCACGCAGGUGGGUCGAUGUCAUACGCUCCUUACCAUGAAGAGCUCUUUCAAAAGAAUGACAUAGUACCUUCAAGAGGAGAGGUUUGGAGGCGAGCUAACCAAAUGGAGGAUGGAAGUUGGGAAAGUCCACAUGCUGAAGCAAUACCGGUAUGUAUAGUUACCCAUAGUUAGUAUAUCUAGUUUGUUGUUUAUAGUGUUAAUAACUGUCUACCUACAAUUGCAGGAGCGCAUCCUCCACUAUGAGCGACAAGGGGUUCCUUGACGAGAAGGGUAUGGUGAUUCUCUAAAUUUGGCACUUCGUGAUCUAGAACCGGACUACAAAGGAAAGCACUAUGGGAGAGUGAUGACUAAGGGUAAAUCUGUUACCCCAUCACAGGUUCGUUAUUUCAAACUUUUUCUGUUAGAUUAUGUGUUUCGUUCAAGUUUAGUUUUUUAUUAGAUUUGAAGUAGUAUUUGAAUGGUGAAAUUUCUCAUCAUAAGUUUAUAUUUUGUUGUACACAAUUUGUUAGCUAAAUUGCACAACCUCAAGUAGUAGAGUUUCCGACGCCACUUCUUCAUUUGCACACACGGUUGAUGGUCGUCCUGAAUAUGAAGACACACUUUGUUGCAUGCAAGAAGAGUGGAUGCAGAGGGAUACUACAAGAGAGGCUGAAUAUCAUAGGAGGGAGGCUGAAUGGGCACAACGGGUUGCUCAGUUGGAAAACAAGGUGACCAACAUAAAAAAGACUCAACAACAAGUAAGUUUAAUUCCAGUAUAUAUUGAUUGAGAAUAUGCAUUUACUUCUUCAUAGGUUUAGUAAAAAUAUUUCUGUAUUAUAUGUAGCCAUAUCCCAUCUUAGGCGAUGAUUCUGAAUCCGAAAAAGAGGAGAUCCAAGAAGAGAAGGUUGAAUCACAUUAAAGCGCAAUUUUGAAGAGUUGUAAGAAUUUGACUAUGUGUUGGAGAAGAUUUGGAACAAUGAAGUUUAAUGUCAUUCUCAAGAUUUGUAAGAUGUUUAAUGUGUUUCUAAACACUUGUAAGAUGUUUGAUGUGUGCAUCUUUGAAUUAUGGAUAUUAAUGCUCUAAUGUGUUUAGAAGUUUGCUAUUCUGGUUUUUGAACGAAUCUGCAAAAUAGGUGUCAUUUAAUGGACGUUACAAAGCAGCUGAAAUGAGCUGCUACUGUGAAUAUUUUUGACAGUUCUCGCGGUUAUUUGAAACCCAGAACCACGAGAACCGACAAGUUCGAAAAAUGACAGUGUCGGUUCUNNNNNNNNNNNNNNNNNNNGCGUUUAUAUAAACCCAGGAACCGAGACAACCAACAAGCGUAAAAGAUGACGGUGUCGAUUCUUGCGGUUAUAUGAAACCCAGAACCGCGAGAACUAACAAACCUAAAAUUUUACAGUGCACAUUGUCGCGGUUAUGGAACCGCGAGAGAUGAAAAGUAUAAAAUUUUACAUUGUCCGUUGUCGCGGUUAUAUAACCGCGAGAACAGAACUAACAGACAGCGACGGUCACCUGAGACCGUUUCUGCCCGUUGUCGCGGGUACAUAAUCGCGACAACUUACAUUGUACGUUGUUGCGGGUUUUUUUNNNNNNNNNNNNNNNNNNNNNNNNNNNNGCCCCAAAGAACCCCCGUUUAUCAGGGGCGUUUUUCUUUGGGUUUUUUGAAAACCAAAAUACCGGCCAUAUAACCGCGAGAACCGUAUCCGAAUAACCGCGAGAACGACUCCGUAUUCUUGUAGUGUUAGCUUACUUUGGACUCCCUUCUCCAGCUUUUACCAUUUCCCCCUCUUUUUCAAGUAUGUAGUAUCCAACCAUAUUGUCGGGGAUUGGCUCGUGCCUGAUUUUCCAUCUUUUAUGACCCCUCCAACCAGUAAUGGAUCUACCGUGGAAUUCAACAAUGAUAGAGGUGACAUGGCAUUCUUCUAAUAUUCGCAAGAGGACUGCCCGCUCCACGAUUGACCAUGUUAAGAGCGUUGCUCCGUCGGCGUUUCUAUGAGGAGUUACUCAAAUGUAUACUAAACUUGUUUUCUAACUAAAAGGAAAAAAGAUAUCCCCAAAUUAUCCAAAAUUAUCGGUCUUGUUGGGUUCGCUCCUCUUUGUUAAAACAAAUAAUCUUGACCCCUAAGACAUGAUGUUUCUCUUGCCUCCAAUGAGAAAAAGGUAUAUUUUUUAAUUCUCUAGAAAUAUCUCUCAUUUUUUAUAAUCCAAACUAAUUCUCUAUAUUAAAAAUUUUAGGCUCAAAUUACCAAAAUCUCUCUCAAUUCUCUUAUCCAAAGAUUUCGUUAACCUUUUCUAGAGAAAAGUAGUCCCUGCUUGGGCCAUAAUUUCAUUAUUUCGAAUUAAAUUUGGACCGAAAGCUUGACCAUUAUCUUGGCCUUCAUAUGCUAAUGGGCUCUGAUGCCCAAACUACAUGUCUUACUUGUAUAUUGUCCAUACUCUGUUUAUGCUGUACAAAAGUAACAAAAAAACUUGCGUUCCAAAAAGAAGAUAAAAACGUAUAUUCCUCCAGAUCGUAAGAGUUUUAAACACUGCAAACCCUAUUCCCUUCCUCCAUCACGUGUUCUUUCCUGCCGUUCCUCUCUGCCGCCGGAAUACCGAUCGUGUACUAACUUAGUGCCUCUAUCUUUUUUAUUUUACUUUCUAGUGGAUCUUACUACACUAGAGUUCUACUUUCGAAUAUAUUGAUUUGCUUUGAAUACUUCUGACCAUCUGCUCUUUUGUUCUUAGAUCUCAAGUCCUUCCUUCGUCAAAAACGAUGACUCCAUUGGUGAGUUGGGGAUUAUCUCUUUUUGAAUUUUAGUUACAUGCAACCCGUCAAGUUCAGACCUUGAUUGUUAGUGAUUGGUUUCAUCUUCUUUGAUUUUUAUAGGUAUUGCACGGUGGGAACACCAAUAAGAAUGUUUUCAAAACUCUCAUUGCAGCAGAGUAUUCAGGGGUGAAGGUUGAUUUGGUUAAGAAUUUUCAAAUGGGUGUCUCAAAUAAAACCCCUGAAUAUCUAAAGUUGAAUCCCAUUGGCAAGGUAAAAAGCUUGUGGCUUUCUUGGAUUCUCAGAUUUAUCUUCUGAUUUUUCACUUUCUAAAGAAUAAUGUAUUGGUUAAUUGUUAUAGGUUCCAGUCUUGGAGACUCCUGAUGGCCCCAUAUUUGAGAGCAAUGCUAUUGCUCGAUAUGGUAAUAUUCAUCUAAUGUUUUGAAUGUUGAACGCAUUUUAUCUAGUGGACUCUAGGAGAGUUUUCUUAUUGCCCUAUCUGUUGAUGCAGUGACCAAGUUGAAGGCCGACAAUCCUCUUUAUGGAAGCUCACUAAUUGAAUAUGUAAUGUUAAUCUCUAUAUGCUGUUUUCUAGUUUCCUUUAUCUUUUGGUAUUUAGUGCUUAUGGACAGAGAUUGCACAUCGUUUUUUAGCUUACUAUUUUACUUUGUUUGAAUAUGCAGGCCCAUAUUGAGCAGUGGAUUGACUUUGCAUCAAUGGAGAUUGAUGCCAAUGUUGCUAAAUGGUUGUAUCCCAGAUUGGGGUUUGUCCCAUUCCUCGCCCCUGUAAGUUGUAUAUUUUAAGUCCCAUUCUGUUGAUAUUUUAAUACUCCAGCUUUGCUUGCAUGCAUUAGUGAGUGUGUGCUUACAUUAACAUAUCUGAAACUAUAGUGAGUGUGUGCUUUGUGCUCUGUACAUGCCAUCUUUGUUGCCGUUUAGUUCACUAAAUUAACAGCAGCCGCUUUGAAAGGCGUCAAGUAGUGGUUCCUGAUUCAUGAAGUGUUUAAUAGAAAUAUUUAUCUUCUUUAAUAGUUCAAUUUUUGCUUACAUGAAGGCUGAGGAAACUUCUAUUUCAGCAUUGAAGAGAGCUCUUGAUGUGUUGAACUCGUACCUUGCCACAACCACCUUCUUGGUUGGGCAUUCUGUUACCUUGGCCGAUAUCAUACUCACAUGUAAUCUGCACAUGGGAUUCUCUUGGAUCCUGACAAAGAGCUUUACCUCAGCAUUUCCUCACGUAGAGAGAUACUUCUGGACCAUGGUUAAUCAACCAAAUUUCAAGAAGGUAAUGGGGGAAGUGA